rnacentral:tRNA from 1 species
UGUCGUCGUAGCGGAUGGUCAACACCAUGCCCGCCUCGGCGGCGGGAUCGAAGGCGGCCCCUUCGCCGACGACCACCGCGUUGGACAGCAG